rnacentral:rRNA from 1 species
GUGGGGAAUAUUCCGCAAUGGACGAAAGUCUGACGGAGCAACGCCGCGUGAGUGAUGAAGGUUUUCGGACUGUAAAGCUCUGUUGUUUAGGACGAAAGUGCCUGUUGCAAACAGUUACAGGUAUUGACGGUACUAAACGAGGAAGCCACGGCUAACUACGUGCCAGCAGCCGCGAUAAUACGUAGGUGGCAAGCGUUGUCCGGAAUUAUUGGGCGUAAAGAGCAUGUAGGCGGGAAUCUAAGUCUGUUGUGAAAAUGCGGGGCUCAACCCCGUAUUGCGAUGGAAACUGGGUUUCUUGAGUGCAGGAGAGGAAAGGGGAAUUCCCAGUGUAGCGGUGAAAUGCGUAGAUAUUGGGAGGAACACCAGUGGCGAAGGCGCCUUUCUGGACUGUGUCUGACGCUGAGAUGCGAAAGCCAGGGUAGCGAACGGGAUUAGAAACCCCGGUAGUCC